rnacentral:rRNA from 1 species
AUUGAACGCUGGCGGCAUGCCUUACACAUGCAAGUCCAACGGUAACAGGUCUUCGGAUGCUGACGAGUGGCGAACGGGUGAGUAAUACAUCGGAACGUGCCCGAUCGUGGGGGAUAACGAAGCGAAAGCUUUGCUAAUACCGCAUAAGAUCUACGGAUGAAAGCAGGGGACCGCAAGGCCUUGCGCGAACGGAGCGGCCGAUGGCAGAUUAGGUAGUUGGUGGGAUAAAAGCUUACCAAGCCGACGAUCUGUAGCUGGUCUGAGAGGACGACCAGCCACACUGGGACUGAGACACGGCCCAGACUCCUACGGGAGGCAGCAGUGGGGAAUUUUGGACAAUGGGCGAAAGCCUGAUCCAGCCAUGCCGCGUGCAGGAUGAAGGCCUUCGGGUUGUAAACUGCUUUUGUACGGAACGAAAAGACUCUGGUUAAUACCUGGGGUCCAUGACGGUACCGUAAGAAUAAGCACCGGCUAACUACGUG